GUGCAGGUGCUCCUCCGAGCUUGAAUGACGGUUGCGUUAGGUCUCCAAAUAGGUGUUGAAUUACCCCCGUGUGCAGCAGGUGCGAGAGUCUGACCCAGACUCGAUGAAAAUACAUUUCACGGUUGUGUUGUGGCUAUUAGUGACUGUUUGACCCACAGUGGUCUCCGUCGUGUUAUUGUUAAAAUACUCGAAACAGCCAUCACUAAAAUCAGUAUUUUUCCCAUGCUGAACUGCAGCCAGGUUUGAUUCCCUACAAUUCCUAUCACUUCUGUGGAGUCCCGCAGGAAAGGGGAAUAUUUCUGGACCAGAAAGAAGUGUUUCUAUCUAUUCGUCAUUCCCGAAAGCCCUUUUGAACCCCGGCUUUCAACCAGGCCGCUCGGCCCUCAGCGGAGGUGCCGCCAGGCAGAAUUGCAGCACUGCCUGCAGCUUUCAAAAAAAGGAACGAUACUCUUGACUGCAGGAGUAAUAUGCUACUUGCUCAUAAAAAGUUCAUCUAAAAAGUUUGUAUAAGCCAGAGUAGUUUAAGUUUACAACCACAGUCACAUUCACAAGUGGGCUAUACCAGAAGAUAUUCUUGAAAUAGGAAGCUACAAGAUAAACGAAUUCAUAACCAAAAAUACUGACAAGCUUUAAGGGUAACUCCAUCCAAAUCUAACAACUAAAUACCACAAAACCAAACAAAUGUGUAAGAAUUAAAGUGUAAGCUUAGGGAAGGUUCCAAAUAUACAUACGAAUUCAAUACAGUAAUUGCACAAAAUGAAAUAAAGCAAUGUCAGAGGUUUAUGAUCA
rnacentral:lncRNA from 1 species